CGUCACCUUGCGCCUCUCGUACAAAACGCUCCGCUAGGGUUCACUCUGAACCUUCUUCGAGCCAACUCAAACCCAGCUCCUACUCCACCUCCUUGGUCAUCCUUAGGACCACCGUAUAUACUGUGUUCGUGUCGGAGUGCCCCGCUAGCUUGUUUUCCAGAUAGUAGAGCAUCUGACAGUGGUAAUGAUGCUAGGAGUGAUACAACUUGAUGGACCGGACGGGCAUCGGGCCCAAUUUGGGGCCCAUCACUGAAGACCUUAUUUGCUAUAUUUUCUUAUCUGUACUAGACUCGUACUGUUAGCUCACUAGCGUACUUUACUCUAGGCCGUGUGGGGCCUCCUUUAUGUUUUAUGGUUAUGUUGGUUAUGUUGGGGUAUGGUGUGCUUCAUAUUCCAAAUCUUCGUACCUCACGAUAUUAUGUAUGUGACGUUUUAUU